rnacentral:lncRNA from 1 species
AAAAUAACUAACAGUGAAAUAUAAUAUGUUUUGUGAUCACCGACAAGAUAGACGGAGAAGACGGUGGCGCUUAUAAAACUUUUUAGCUCUCGCAUCUUCUCCGACGCUAUCACCAUAAAAUCCGUUAGCUUGCCGCAUCUCUCUGACGCCAUCUGAAUCCACGAUUCCAUUCACGGCACUUCUUUUUUUUCCAAAACUCACUACCACCAAUAAUAUAAUCAUCACCACUAUCAUCGUAAAUAUCAUCUCCACCAUUGUUAAGAAUGCAAUUAUUUUAAAUAGAAAUGAACACCACUUACAAUCACCACCUCGGCAGCCGACACGUAAUCGAAACAAGAAUCACCACUACCAAUUGUCUUUCUCCAACAUAAAAUCAAAUUGACCAUGUAAAUUUUCAAACAUACACGUUUGUUCCAAAAUUUUCAUGAUAAUUUGAGAAUCUCAUUGAUGGAAAAAAAAAAAAAAAAGACAGAAGAGGAAGAAGACAUAAA